rnacentral:rRNA from 1 species
UGCGUAGGUGGCGAGGUAAGUCGGAUGUGAAAUCUCCAAGCUCAACUUGGAAAUGGCAUUGGAAACUACCUUGCUAGAGGUUUGGAGGGGGGACUGGAAUUCUCGGUGUAGCAGUGAAAUGCGUAGAUAUCGAGAGGAACACCAGUGGCGAAGGCGAGUCCCUGGACAACACCUGACACUGAGGCACGAAAGCUAGGGGAGCAAACA